GGGGGGGGGGGGGGGGGGGGGGGGGGGGGGGGGGGGGGGCGGGGGGGGGGGGCAGCGGGCGGCGUGGCUGGCGGGUGGCGGGCGGGUGGGGGGGGUCUGGGACGCUGGCUGCGGGAGGGGGGUGACUGCUGGAAACGGUCGCUAAUACCGCACAACGUCGCACGGGCAAAGCGGGGGACCUUCGGGCCUCUUGCCACCGGAUGUGCCCAGCUGGGAUUAGCUAGUAGGUGGGGUAACGGCUCCCCUAGGCGACGAUGCCUAGCUGGUCUGAGAGGAUGACCAGCCACACUGGAACUGAGACACGGUCCAGACGCCUACGGGAGGCAGCAGUGGGGAAUAUUGCACAAUGGGCGCAAGCCUGAUGCAGCCAUGCCGCGUGUAUGAAGAAGGCCUUCGGGUUGUAAAGUACUUUCAGCGGGGAGGAAGGGAGGAAAGUUAAUACCUUUGCUCAUUGACGGUACCCGCAGAAGAAGCACCGGCUAACUCCGUG
rnacentral:rRNA from 1 species